UCCUACGGGAGGCAGCAGUGGGGAAUAUUGCACAAUGGGGGAAACCCUGAUGCAGCCAUGCCGCGUGUGUGAAGAAGGCCUUCAGGUUGUAAAGCACUUUCAGUUGUGAGGAAAAGUUAGUAGUUAAUACCUGCUAGCCGUGACGUUAACAACAGAAGAAGCACCGGCUAACUCCGUGCCAGCAGCCGCGGUAAUACGGAGGGCGCGAGCGUUAAUCGGAAUUACUGGGCGUAAAGCGCACGCAGGCGGUUUGUUAAGCUAGAUGUGAAAGCCCCGGGCUCAACCUGGGAUGGUCAUUUAGAACUGGCAGACUAGAGUCUUGGAGAGGGGAGUGGAAUUCCAGGUGUAGCGGUGAAAUGCGUAGAUAUCUGGAGGAACAUCAGUGGCGAAGGCGACUCCCUGGCCAAAGACUGACGCUCAUGUGCGAAAGUGUGGGUAGCGAACAGGAUUAGAUACCCUGGUAGUCCACACCGUAAACGCUGUCUACUAGCUGUGUGUGUCUUUAAGACGUGCGUAGCGAAGCUAACGCGCUAAGUAGACCGCCUGGGGAGUACGGCCGCAAGGUUAAAACUCAAAUGAAUUGACGG
rnacentral:rRNA from 1 species